UUCCCUGAACGAAGCAGUUCGGCGGAGGUCAGGGCGGGGAUCGUCCCCGCCUCGGGCACAGCAGGCAGCUCCGGGGCAACGACAGGAGGGAGAUGCUCUCCCAACGUCCCGUCCUCUCAGCCUCCUCGCCCUCGGCGUCCCGGGCUCCGUCCAGCCUCUCGGUGUCCCGCGGCCGGCGACGGCACGGACUUCGCUACCGCGGCCCUACCAUUGCUCCAUGCCUCCGGGAAUUUCCUACCCAGACUCAGGCCAAACAGCAGUCCAGCCCCUUUGCGAAUCUGGGAAAGCCUCCAGGCCGAAAGCGGCACAGACGCCCAGGGGCCCUCGGAUGGGCUCCGGAAAAAUUCUCAUCCAAGCCGCUCGUGGGGCAGCUGAAACGCGGGGCCCACACUGUACUUCACCUGGGUGGGAGUUACGCCCUGCUGCCUUCCUGUCUCAGGGGGAGCAGAGGUUAACUAUCUGUGCAGGCCUGGGGCAGCUUCAGAGGAUGCUUUCCGGAGGAGGGGAAUUUUACCCAGGCGUUGAAAGUCAACCCUCUCAGCAAGUGUCACCUAGAGGUCACUGAAACCUGAUGGGGACCUGGAAUCCCACUCAUAGGAAUUUACCCAAGAGCAACGGACACUUACAUUCACAUAAAAACCAGGAUGUGCAAGUUUAUAGCAGCUUUGUUCAGAAUCACCCAAUCUGGAGACAGCCCGCAUUCUGCACCCGGAGAAGUGACAUCACCGCGGCCAUGCACACAACAUACUCAGCAGUGAGAGGGGAUCCACGCAACAGCAUCGUGCCAGGUGAGGGAACCCAGACUGCAGAGGUGGCGUGCCGUGUGGUCCCACACUCUGGAAGAGGCAAAAGCAGAGCAGAGCUGUGGCCCCCCGGGUGGGACUAGCCGAUCACAGGGGGCUGAGCAGGGAAUCUGGGGGAUGAUGGAAUGCCUGGGCUGCGGGGGUGAUUACAUGACGCUGUUUGUCAAAACCUGGAACUGUACACCAACAAGAGUGCAUUUCACUUUAUAAAAAGUUUAGAAACAAAUGUUUAAAAGUUAAAAAAGAAGAAACCCUCAUUGUUUACAAAUAAAGGGAGAAGAAAGUUGUGA